UUAUUAGGAAAAAAAAAAAAAGAAGAUGACAGCAGCAGUGCCAUUAGUAUCAUUACCAACCUCUUGCAUCCCUCCCUCCAAUUUACAUUUGUUUUGGUCCUCUAAUACGAACUCAGUAAACCCUAGAAACCGGCAUGGACCCUCGUCUGAAAAAUUGCUCCUGAUUUCUUCAUUUAACCCCAACGAGUUAAACAAGUUUAGGUUUAGAGCUAGAAGGAGGGUUCCGAGAACCACCGUGACUGUGGCUUGUAGAAGACCCGAAUCCGAAUUGGACUCUCUAGUUGAUUGCGUCGGCACUGGACUCGACGUCGAAUGCGAUGUUUCUGUUCGUCCGGAAUCCUCAUCUGAGACCGUCCCUUUGUUGCAGCCGAAGAGCUCAGCGUUUCCCUUGAGAGAUGCAAAGAUUUCUGAUCAGGGUUUUGCUCGAGACCUCUUGGAUUGGGCUAUAUUGAUUUCUCCCUUCUUCUUUUGGGGAACGGCUAUGGUCGCCAUGAAAGAAGUCUUGCCCAAGGCCGGACCCUUCUUCGUGUCCUCGUUCCGACUUAUUCCGGCAGGGAUGAUUUUGAUCGGUUUCGCUGGCUUGACUGGGAGGAGGCAGCCUUCUGGGGUCACCGCUUGGGCUUCGAUCCUUCUCUUUGGAAUUGUUGAUGCUGCUUGUUUUCAGGGUUUCCUUGCCGAAGGUUUGCAGAAGACUUCAGCCGGUUUGGGUAGUGUGAUAAUUGAUUCACAGCCUUUGACGGUGGCUAUACUUGCAGCCUUAUUAUUUGGUGAAUCUAUUGGGUUUGUUGGAGCUGCAGGUCUUGUGUUUGGUGUAAUAGGACUUCUGCUUUUGGAGAUUCCUGCUCUUACUUUCGAGGAGAGUAAUUCAUUGUGGGGGAGUGGGGAGUGGUGGAUGCUUCUUGCGGCUCAGAGCAUGGCAGUGGGCACUGUUAUGGUCCGUUGGGUAUCCAAGUAUUCCGACCCCGUCAUGGCAACCGGAUGGCACAUGGUUAUUGGUGGGCUACCUCUCGUAGCGCUUUCAGUACUUAAUCAUGAGCCUGCUAUCAAUGGGAGUCUUAAGGAGCUUACAUCAAAUGAUCUUUUGGCACUUGUCUAUACCUCCUUCUUUGGAAGUGCUGUCAGCUAUGGUGUAUUCUUCUACAAUGCAACAAGAGGUCUUCUUUACUUAUUGCAGUAGUCAUUUAAUAUCCCUUCAGUAUCCAGGAUUUCCGAAGCUCGUCAUAUUCCUGAGAGAAAUUAACUAUUGGUGAUGCAUUUGCAGGUUUUUGUACCUUGGUGAGACAUUCUCACCUCUGCAACUUGUUGGGGCCUUUGUGACAGUGGUUGCUAUUUACAUGGUUAAUUAUCAGAAUGAAGAGGAAUGAAGCAUGAGGUAAAGAACAGUUGCAUAAACUUUUCUUAAAUUAUGAAGUAAGCUACCACUACAGCUGUAUUCUUGAGUGUGCUUGAUUUUUUGUUGGACUUAGCUGGGUAUCAUCAAUCAUAUGUUGCUUCAGAGAUAUCAAAGGAAAGAUAUGGAUACCAGGUAUGGUUGGAGAGAUUACUCAUCUAUGUUAGUAGUUGUAUGCAUGGAUUUUUGACUGUGAAGUGAAUGCUGUAUCUCAGCUCAAUGACAAGUGGCACCAUUCACUAAGGCUAUAAGACUAAAGCUUGUUGAUUGAUCUAAUGGGAGUGAAUAUUUUACAGUGUGUAAGGUGCCAAUUGUACCUGUAAGUAUUUUAUCAUAACCAACCUUGUCAGAUCCACCCUUACCCACUGGGUUGUACAGGAGUUCCACUCUACCAUCAUGAUUGAAGCCUUUAUGUAUGUAUUCUGUUAUUUUAGGAUUGCAUUUUAAUUUCAUGAUGACGGUUAUGAUUAUGUA